AACGAACGCUGGCGGCAUGCCUAACACAUGCAAGUCGAACGAGACCUUCGGGUCUAGUGGCGCACGGGUGCGUAACGCGUGGGAACCUGCCCUUAGGUUCGGAAUAACUCCCCGAAAGGGGUGCUAAUACCGGAUAAUGUCUUCGGACCAAAGAUUUAUCGCCUUUGGAUGGGCCCGCGUUGGAUUAGCUAGUUGGUAGGGUAAAAGCCUACCAAGGCGACGAUCCAUAGCUGGUCUGAGAGGAUGCUCAGCCACACUGGGACUGAGACACGGCCCAGACUCCUACGGGAGGCAGCAGUGGGGGAUAUUGGACAAUGGGCGAAAGCCUGAUCCAGCAAUGCCGCGUGAGUGAUGAAGGCCUUAGGGUUGUAAAGCUCGUUUACCCGGGAUGAUAAUGACGGUACCGGGAGAAUAAGCUCCGGCUAACUCCGUG
rnacentral:rRNA from 1 species